GCCGCGUGAGUGAAGAAGGCCUUUGGGUUGUAAAGCUCUUUUGUAGGGGGAGAUAAUGACUGUACCCUAAGAAUAAGGUCCGGCUAACUUCGUGCCAGCAGCCGCGGUAAUACGAAGGGACCUAGCGUAGAUCGGAAUUACUGGGCGUAAAGCGCGCGUAGGCCGUUGAGUUAGUUAAUUGUGAAAUCCCAAAGCUUAACUUUGGAACUGCAAUUAAAACUGCUCGACUAGAGUUUGAUAGAGGAAAGCGGAAUACAUAGUGUAGAGGUGAAAUUCGUAGAUAUUAUGUAGAACACCAGUUGCGAAGGCGGCUUUCUGGGUCAACACUGACGCUGAGGCGCGAAAGUAUGGGUAGCAAAGAGGAUUAGAUACCCUCGUAGUCCAUACCAUAAACGAUGAUUGCUAGAUGUUGGAAAUUUAUUUUCAGUAUCGCAGCUAACGCAUUAAGCAAUCCGCCUGGGGAGUACGACCGCAAGGUUAAAACUCAAAUGAAUUGACGGGGACCCGCACAAGCGGUGGAGCAUGUGGUUUAAUUCGAAGAUACGCGCAGAACCUUACCAAGCCUUGACAUGUCUGUCGCGAGUUUAGGAAACUAGACUUUUCG
rnacentral:rRNA from 1 species